UGAAAGGGAAACGAUUGAAGUCAGUCGUACCUGCGGGUAAUCAGCCUUUUGGGCAUGAUUCUGUGGAGCGUGAGGAGUUAAACGCCUUCAUGCCUGCAUAUUCGUGUACUUUGGGUGUACUUGCCUGUGUGGUUAGUUAACAUCAAUUUUGGUUAUCAUAAAAUGGUUGGAGGAAUGUAGCUUCGAUUUCGAUUGAAGUGUUAUAGCCUUCGGCAGAUGUGAUGAUUGGGAUUGAGGAUUGCAACGGAUACCCUUCGGGGCUACCUGUCUGGUCUCUGAUCGUUGCUCUGGUGCCGAAAGCGUGCUUACGGUUAUCAAAGUCGAUGGUCAAUAGGUUAGAACGGGUUAAAUUCGUUAAGGAUGUUGACGUA
rnacentral:rRNA from 1 species